GAUGAACGCUGGCGGCGUGCCUAAUACAUGCAAGUCGAGCGAACAGACGAGGAGCUUGCUCCUCUGACGUUAGCGGCGGACGGGUGAGUAACACGUGGAUAACCUACCUAUAAGACUGGGAUAACUUCGGGAAACCGGAGCUAAUACCGGAUAAUAUAUUGAACCGCAUGGUCCAAUAGUGAAAGACGGUUUUGCUGUCACUUAUAGAUGGAUCCGCGCCGCAUUAGCUAGUUGGUAAGGUAACGGCUUACCAAGGCAACGAUGCGUAGCCGACCUGAGAGGGUGAUCGGCCACACUGGAACUGAGACACGGUCCAGACUCCUACGGGAGGCAGCAGUAGGGAAUCUUCCGCAAUGGGCGAAAGCUUGACGGAGCAACGCCGCGUGAGUGAUGAAGGUCUUCGGAUCGUAAAACUCUGUUAUUAGGGAAGAACAAAUGUGUAAGUAACUAUGCACGUCUUGACGGUACCUAAUCAGAAAGCCACGGCUAACUACGU
rnacentral:rRNA from 1 species